rnacentral:rRNA from 1 species
UAGUCGGAGGUGUGUCUCGGACGGUCGGUUCGCCGCUUGUCGGUGCUCAACUGGCCGGUCCGGACGUCCUGCCGGUGGGGCUGUAAAAGGCUCCGUUAUCCUUCUUUGGUCCUCUUCAUUGAGUGCCUUGGUGGGCCGGCACGUUUACUUUGAACAAAUUAGAGUGCUCAAAGCAGGCCGUUGGUCGCCUGAAUACUGUGUGCAUGGAAUAAUGGAAUAGGACCUCGGUUCCAUUUUGUUGGUUUUCAGAACUCGAGGUAAUGAUUAAUAGGGACGGACGGGGGCAUUCGUAUUGCUACGUUAGAGGUGAAAUUCUUGGAUCGUCGCAAGACGAACCGAUGCGAAAGCAUUUGCCAAGAACGUUUUCGUUGAUCAAGAACGAAAGUUAGAGGUUCGAAGGCGAUCAGAUACCGCCCUAGUUCUAACCAUAAACGAUGCCAGCUAGCCAUCCGCCGAAGUUCCUUAUAUGACUCGGCGGGCAGCUUCCGGGAAACCAAAGCUCUUGGGUUCCGGGGGAAGUAU